rnacentral:lncRNA from 13 species
AGUACUCUGGUAACUACUGAAAGCAUCCUGCUGUUUCUGUCCACUGGAGCGAACCACUUAACCUGUCCUGCCUCAGUCAACAUUGUACUGUUUCUAUUUGUUUUCUCUAUGGACUGUACCAAAACAACAGGAAGCCAGGGGUCAUCCCAAGGCCAUGGUCUAUGCCAAUAAACAGAGGUUUGUGGAUAAUCACCACUAAUGGUUUGGCCCAUUCUACAACUGUAUGAUUCUACGGAUUCUAAGAAGGCUCUCAAGUGUUCUUAUUAUUCUUUAGAAACGUGAUGAAAUGACUUUUCAGUACACAAUACUUACAGCACUAACUGUCAACAUAGCCCCAAGACCAUGAAAGUCCUUUGUAUUCCCAUGAAUAAUACAUNNNNNNNNNNGCCCAGGUGGGUCUGAACAGGACCCAGGUGGGUCUGAACACGGCCCAGGUGGGUCUGAACAGGGCCCAGGUGGGUCUGAACAGGACCCAGGUGGGUCUGAACAGGGCCCAGGUGGGUCUGAACAGGGCCCAGGUGGGUCUGAACAGGACCCAGGUGGGUCUGAACAGGGCCCAGGUGGGUCUGAACAGGGCCCAGGUGGGUCCCGUUAAGAUACAGCAGCAUUUCUCCCAGUACUCUGGUAACUACUGAAAGCAUCCUGCUGUUUCUGUCCACUGGAGCGAACCACUUAACCUGUCCUGCCUCAGUCAACAUUGUACUGUUUCUAUUUGUUUUCUCUAUGGACUGUACCAAAACAACAGGAAGCCAGGGGUCAUCCCAAGGCCAUGGUCUAUGCCAAUAAACAGAGGUUUGUGGAUAAUCACCACUAAUGGUUUGGCCCAUUCUACAACUGUAUGAUUCUACGGAUUCUAAG